UACGUAGGGGGCGAGCGUUGUCCGGAAUCAUUGGGCGUAAAGCGCGUGUAGGCGGCUCGAUAAGUCCGGUGUGAAACCUUGGGGCUCAACCCCAAGCCUGCACUGGAUACUGUCGAGCUCGAGUCCGGGAGGGAGAGCGGAAGUUCCUAGUGUAGCGGUGAAAUGCGCAGAUAUUAGGAAGAACACCGGUGGCGAAGGCGGCUCUCUGGAACGGUACUGACGCUGAGACGCGAAAGCGUGGGGAGCGAACAGG
rnacentral:rRNA from 1 species